UCAGAUGUCAGGUGUCCAUCCAUUUGCUUUGAUCCUGCUUUCUUCAGACCCUGAUGGAACACCGCAUUGAUUAUCAGAAACAUUUGCAGGAAAUGAGAGGGGAUUUUUCUCAGGACGUGCAGGCUGUUUUUCAAACUAAUGAAAUCUUGAAAUUUUCCAAAUAGUGCUCAGGAAAAUGUCAAUGAAAGGAAGAGCUCCUGUGUCAACUUGGAUGCAAGUGACAGCAACUAUGGGCACAGUGAUGAGGAAUGGAAAACUACUGAAAGGAGUGUCUAUGUGUCAGGUCAGGAUGAGGGGGAGAUGUUCUUGCCUGGCCUUCACCCACAUCACAACACGGCAGCCUUCAGGAUGAGCUUAUCAGGAGACAGCUUGAGAAAACUCGCUUGGCCCUGCCAGACACCGAGAUGAGUUGCUGUCAGACUGCUAAGAGCCUGUUGUGAGGUGGAUUGACCUGUAUGUGAUUUAUCAGUAUAUAAAGCAGCCUGUUUUUUACUCUUGU
rnacentral:lncRNA from 1 species